rnacentral:rRNA from 1 species
CCUACGGGAGGCAGCAGUGAGGAAUAUUGGUCAAUGGGCGCGAGCCUGAACCAACCAAGUAGCGUGAAGGAUGACUGCCCUACGGGUUGUACACUUCUUUUAUAAAGGAAUAAAGUGAGGCACGUGUGCCUUUUUGUAUGUACUUUAUUGAUAAGGAUCAGCUAACUCCGUGCCAGCAGCCGCGGUAAUACGGAGGAUCCGAGCGUUGUCCGGAUUUAUUGGGUUUAAAGGGAGCGUAGAUGGGUUGUUAAGUCAGUUGUGAAAGUUUGCGGCUCAACCGUAAAAUUGCAAUUGAUACUGGCAGCCUUGAGUACAGUUGAGGUAGGCGGAAUUCGUGGUGUAGCGGUGAAAUGCUGAGAUAUCACGAAGAACUCCGAUUGCGAAGGCAGCUUACUAAACUGCCACUGACAUUGAUGCUCGAAAGUGUGGGUAUCAAACAGGAUUAGAUACCCCGGUAGUC